AGGGUGUAAACGCUGCAGACUUGGUGUUGGAAGUCCUUUGGGGGCAUUCAGUGCCGGAGAGAAGUUGUUAAGUCUGCUACUUGGGGAGUACGUCCGCAAGGAUGAAACUUAAAGGAAUUGGCGGGGGAGCACCGCAACGGGAGGAGCGUGCGGUUUAAUUGGAUUCAACACCGUAAACUCACCAGGGAAGACUGUUACAUGAAAGCCGAGAUGAAGACUCUGCUAGAUUUUCAGAGAGGAGGUGCAUGGCGUCAGUGACU
rnacentral:rRNA from 1 species